rnacentral:rRNA from 1 species
UACAGAGGGGGCAAGCGUUGUUCGGAAUUACUGGGCGUAAAGGGCGCGUAGGCGGCCUGCUAAGUCGAACGUGAAAUCCCCGGGCUCAACCCGGGAACUGCGUCCGAUACUGGCAGGCUUGAAUUCGGGAGAGGGAUGCGGAAUUCCAGGUGUAGCGGUGAAAUGCGUAGAUAUCUGGAGGAACACCGGUGGCGAAGGCGGCGUCCUGGACCAACACUGACACUGAUGAGCGAAAGCCAGGGGAGCAAACGGG